CCAGUCUUUUCUUGGCUUUGAGGCGGCAGUAGCCAGGAGGGAGCUCAGCCUGGGCUGUGGGGAAGCAGACAGUUUUGCUGCUUCCCAGCUCACCCCUUGGCUUCCGGCAAGAUCUUCCCCUUCACUUUGAUGCACUCUCCAGGCUGGAUAUUCAAGCUGAACCAUGGUCGGAUCGCAGAAUCAGGGAGGAGGCAGCCACCAAGACUGAGGAAGGGUGAGAGAGAGAAAAGGACCCCUCGCAGCUCCCCAUCCCCACCAGGGGCUUUGUAGCAGGACAGAUGGGGAACCCUCCUCUCUGCAUGAAAAAGGAUUUGCUCGGAACCUUGGAUCCUCUGCACCACGCACGAGGGAAGGGAGGGAGGACCCGUCACCGUCACCUCCAUCCAGGGGGAAAGGGGACUAAACCAAAGCCCCUUUUCCACCCACACCCCAGACUCCUGCUGCUGCUGGGGGUGGCUCUGUGCCUGGGGAUGCCAGGUGGACAGCCCCACCAGCAGUGAGUGGACGAAGCUUUUCCUAGGAUCUCCUCCCCGGGAAAUGUACGUCUGACACCAGUGCCCUCAGCCCUCCCCUGCGUGUUGCUGCUCGCUGUGACCAAUAGGUGUCACCCUCAGAGCAAACACCAGCUGGGUGGGGAUAUGGAGAACAGAGAGGCAAGGGGAAGAAAUAAAGAGCCCCUCAUAACACCCUUGCAGCAAGAAGCCUCAGUGCAAAUGUGCCGGGAGUAACCACCCACAAAUGCUGCCAGGGAGAAAAAUGCAACAUUCCCCCCUGUGUGUGGCACUAAAUUCAGUCAUCACAUAAACACAACUGAAGACACCAGAGGCCCUAACAUACUGCUCUGUGCACCUCCCCAAAGGCCCAAACUAUCCCCACCACAGCGCUAGUAAGGAUUUCCCUCAGGCAAAUUGUUUCCCCAGUGUUUCCUCGGGGGGCAAGGGUAACAGGAGAUUCAGCCCCCCCAAUGCACAGAUCUCCACAUGCCUGCAGCUUGCAGAGGAAUCUGCUGGAUGCCGGAGCCAUCCAAAUGGUGGCUGCCUCCCCACACCCUCUUGGCUCCCUGUGCUGCUCACCUCCUGGGACGGUGCCUCCAGGCUUUCUUGCCUCAGCCCCCAGCCCCUUCUGUGUGGGGAUCAGCAUGGA